rnacentral:lncRNA from 1 species
CUCUAUAGCAGAAGACUCUACAGCAGAAGACUCUACAGCAGAAGACUGUAUAGGAAAAGGAAGCACAGGUCAGUGGCCUUCAGUCAACAGAGAAGCACAACCGAGGAGCAAUCCCAUGGAGAAUGGAACUUUGAUAACCACACAGCACAUGCUCUGCGGAAAGCCAAUGAGACGGCCAAAUCGAGUCUACUCGUGUUCUGUUAACCUGUCAAGAUGACAUCCGAAGCUGGUGCCUGGCUUGCUUACUUUCCUGUUGCUGGGACAGGGGAAGACGGACACGUAAUUAAAUGGGAAAAUCCAUGUAAAAGAAAGCUUUGCAAAUGAUUGGGAAAUUCUAAGAUACCAUCAAGUACUUUUUCAACAAAAUUAACCUUCCCAAAGACAUAUAUACAUUUCUGCAAGAUUAUUGCCAGAGGCACAACAGAACUCUCCUCCUCACUCAGCUCCUGGGAGCGGCCCGGCAUGCUGUAGACAGACAAGAGGACAGAGCUCUCUAGCCAGUCUUCCAAGAGAAGUAUCUUCAGCUACUCAAUGGGCCUAGAUUGGUCUUCAAUAGCCGC